GCCGAGGUGGCGAAAUGGCAGACGCACGGGACUCAAAAUCCCGCGAUGGCAACAUCAUGUCGGUUCAAGUCCGACCCUCGGCACCA
rnacentral:tRNA from 1 species